rnacentral:rRNA from 1 species
GAUGAACGCUGGCGGCGUGCCUAAUACAUGCAAGUCGAGCGAACAGACGAGGAGCUUGCUCCUUCGACGUUAGCGGCGGACGGGUGAGUAACACGUAGGUAACCUACCUAUAAGACUGGGAUAACUUCGGGAAACCGGAGCUAAUACCGGAUAAUAUUUCGAACCGCAUGGUUCGAUAGUGAAAGAUGGCUUUGCUAUCACUUAUAGAUGGACCUGCGCCGUAUUAGCUAGUUGGUAAGGUAACGGCUUAGCAAGGCAACGAUACGUAGCCGACCUGAGAGGGUGAUCGGCCACACUGGAACUGAGACACGGUCCAGAGUCCUACGGGAGGCAGCAGUAGGGAAUCUUACGCAAUGGGCGAAAGCCUGACGGAGCAACGCCGCGUGAGUGAUGAAGGUCUUCGGAUCGUAAAACUCUGUUAUUAGGGAAGAACAAACUUGUAAGUAACUGUGCACGUCUUGACGGUACCUAAUCAGAAAGCCACGGCUAACUACGUG